rnacentral:rRNA from 1 species
UACAGAGGUCCCAAGCGUUGUUCGGAUUUACUGGGCGUAAAGGGUGCGUAGGCGGUCGGGUAAGUCUGAUGUGAAAUCUCAGAGCUCAACUCUGAAACUGCAUUGGAUACUAUUCGGCUUGAGGUCUGGAGGGGGGACUGGAAUUCUCGGUGUAGCAGUGAAAUGCGUAGAUAUCUGGAGGAACACCGGGUGGCGAAGGCGGCGUUCUGGGACUGUCUCUGACACUGAGGCGCGAAAGCUAGGGGAGCGAACAGG